CCUACGGGAGGCAGCAGUGGGGAAUAUUGCACAAUGGGCGAAAGCCUGAUGCAGCAACGCCGCGUGAGCGAUGAAGGCCUUCGGGUCGUAAAGCUCUGUCCUCAAGGAAGAUAAUGACGGUACUUGAGGAGGAAGCCCCGGCUAACUACGUGCCAGCAGCCGCGGUAAUAGGUGGGGGGCUAGCGUUAUCCGGAAUUACUGGGCGUAAGGGGGGCGUAGGUGGUUUCUUAAGUCAGAGGUGAAAGGCUAGGGUUCAACCGUAGUAAGCCUUUGAAACUGGGAAACUUGAGUGCAGGAGAGGAGAGUGGAAUUCCUAGUGUAGCGGUGAAAUGCGUAGAUAUUAGGAGGAACACCAGUUGCGAAGGCGGCUCUCUGGACUGUAACUGACACUGAGGCACGAAAGCGUGGGGAGCAAACAGGAUUAGAUACCCCUGUAGUC
rnacentral:rRNA from 1 species